rnacentral:lncRNA from 1 species
CUGUUGUAUAUUUAACCUCCACACCAUAUUUCAUGCAAUAAGAAUGCAUAUCAGCUCUUGAGCAGCCAGAUUUGGAAAUCAUGGCUCUCCAGUCAUGGGAAAAGGACAGCGUAAGGAACAGCAGCAUACAUGCAUUUUCCUUCACUGCUGUCACAAAGAUUUUUACUUCAGGACCUGGCAGAGCUUUACUUGCUGCAUUUAUCAUGGUGAGCUCAAUUCCUGGUCACAGAGUCAGGUCAUACACAGAAAUCCACGUACUGUCAAUGGAAGUUCAGCACCAGAUUAAGGACAAGAGAUUUAUUCCUGGGCUCCUUCUGGAGGAGAGGUGA